rnacentral:rRNA from 1 species
AAUCUUCCACAAUGGACGGAAGUCUGAUGGAGCAACGCCGCGUGAGCGAAGAAGGUUUUCGGAUCGUAAAACUCUGUUGUUAGGGACGAACAACUACCGGAGUCACUGCCGGUACCUUGACGGUACCUGACGAGAAAGCCCCGCCUAACUACGUGCCAGCAGCCGCGGUAAUUCGUAGGUGGCAAGCGUUGUCCGGAUUUAUUGGGCGUAAAGCGCGCGCAGGCGGUCUUUUAAGUCUGAUGUGAAAUCUUACAGCUUAACAGUAAGCGGUCAUUGGAAACGGGGAGACUUGAGUGCAGAAGAGGAGAGUGGAAUGCCAGGUGUAGCGGUGAAAUGCGUAGAGAUAUGGAGGAACACCAGUGGCGAAGGCGACUCUCUGGUCUGUAACUGACGCUGAGGCGCGAAAGCGUGGGGAGCAAACA